rfam:Pseudobacteriovorax antillogorgiicola strain RKEM611 genome assembly, contig: Ga0139084_116
AAAGUCUCGAAUGGAUAAAUGGCAGUCCUCCAUAUCCAGAGCGAGCCUUGCGUACAUGGAGGUGACAAUAUGGACGAAGCGUAGGCAGCGUUAAACACCAGGCCGCAAGCGGUAGCUGAAGUGAUUGCGUCCCGUAAUGAGUUUCGUUGGAGUGGUCGACGCUUGCAAUAAAGCGGAAGACAACAUCGGUUAGAGGCGACUUGAAAAGUCAGGACUUAUCUAACCAGCACCCCCGGGAUCCUAGAGCG